rnacentral:misc_RNA from 1 species
CCGAACCGUCAACACGAGUUGUUGCUGGUCCUCAGAUGGGGGCAUGUGCACGCUCUGUUUACACAUCCAUUUACACCUGUGCACCCACUGUAGUUCCAUGGCCUGGGGGAUUCUGUCCUCUUUCUGCGGUUCUAUGUCUUUACAUACACACUGUAAUAAAGUUUCAUGGAAUGCAUGACGCGUCUAACGCAAUACAAUA